UACGAAGGGGGCUAGCGUUGUUCGGAAUUACUGGGCGUAAAGCGCGCGCAGGCGGUCCUUCAAGUCAGAGGUGAAAGCCCAGAGCUCAACCCUGGAACUGCCUUUGAAACUGGAGGACUUGAGUACGGGAGAGGUGAGUGGAAUUCCGAGUGUAGAGGUGAAAUUCGUAGAUAUCGGGAGGAACACCUGUGGCGAAAGCGGCGCACUGGACCACAACUGACGCUGAUGCGCGAAAGCUAGGGGAGCAAACAGG
rnacentral:rRNA from 1 species